AUUGAACGCUGGCGGCAUGCUUUACACAUGCAAGUCGAACGGUAACAGGCCUUCGGGUGCUGACGAGUGGCGAACGGGUGAGUAAUGCAUCGGAACGUGCCCAGAGGUGGGGGAUAACGCAGCGAAAGCUGUGCUAAUACCGCAUGUGAUCUGAGGAUGAAAGCGGGGGACCAAGCAGCAAUGUUUGGCCUCGCGCCUCUGGAGCGGCCGAUGUCAGAUUAGGUAGUUGGUGGGGUAAAGGCCUACCAAGCCGACGAUCUGUAGCUGGUCUGAGAGGACGACCAGCCACACUGGGACUGAGACACGGCCCAGACUCCUACGGGAGGCAGCAGUGGGGAAUUUUGGACAAUGGGAGCAAGCCUGAUCCAGCAAUGCCGCGUGCGGGAAGAAGGCCUUCGGGUUGUAAACCGCUUUUGUACGGAACGAAAAGGCUCUGGCUAAUACCUGGGGCUGAUGACGGUACCGUAAGAAUAAGCACCGGCUAACUACGUG
rnacentral:rRNA from 1 species